GAAGAAAAAGGCCGAAGUGCUGGCGC
rnacentral:piRNA from 1 species